rnacentral:rRNA from 1 species
UUUAUUUUCCACCUGAGAACUACGAACUAACGUUUAAAACUCAAAGGACUUGGCGGUUUUUUAAAUCUUUCUGGAGGAGCUUGCUAUCAAACCGAUAAUCCACGAAACACCUUACCAAUCUUUGAAAAUACAACCUGUAUACCAUCAUCGUCAGCCCUACUCCUCAAGGAUAGUAUGCAAAAAGAGAUUCUCUCAUUACGUUAGAUCGAGGUGCAGUUUAUAGAUUGGGGAUAAGUGAGCUACAAUAAUAAAACAAAUAAAAUAAGAAUAUGGACAACUUAAUGAAAAAGAGUUACAAACAGAAUUCAGUAGUAAUGACUUAAAAGAAAAUAAGCAUGAAAAAA